AUCGAAAUACGAGAGUCGAUAGAAACUUGCCGAGACUACAAAUUUCGAUUCCUUAUAGAGCAUUUUCGAUACAAUUGUGUCCGUAUCAGUGAAAGUCGAUGCGUUCCUGGAAAUGCGAACGGAUUGAGUUUCAUGUUCUCUUUUCUGCAGCAGAAUAUUUCAGUGGCUUUUCAGAACUUCAUUCUAGUGGCGACAGUUUGCCUUUGCUGUAUGGCAAGAACCAAGAGCACAAGUUUAUUGCAGAUCUACUGCAGGGCUUGUUCCGCGGGUUUAUUGCAGAUCUACUGCAGGGCGUGUUCCUCGGGUUUAUUGCAGAUCUACUGCAGGGCUUGUUCCGCGGGUUUAUUGCAGAUCUACUGCAGGGCUUGUUCCGCUGCCACUGCCGCUGCUGCUGCUGUCAGUGGAUGUACAGUCAGUUCUGUGACUGUUGGAGAGCCAGAGAGACUAAGCUUCAAGAGAGGACAUGAGAUGAUGGUACACAGAACACGGAUUGUCAAGUGCACCAUGCAGUGAAGUGACUCCACAACACGGCACAAAGGGAGUCUAUCCAGCAGAUCGUGGCAGCCAGCGUGGCAGCAGCCCUCAGCGGCAACGCACCGGAGAACGUCACGGCGCACCAAGAAGACGGCUCGCAAGCCGCGCGCAUAACAUCCUGCCGGAUGUCCACCUCCCGCCGGAGGAUCGCCUACAGACACCAACGCCGCAAGCAAUGGCUCCGCGAGCCAACGCUUCGCCGCCCGCUGUCUAUUGUUCGUUGUGUCUAUCCAGGGUCGCUAGCCACCCUCGCAAUACAUCCCGCCGAACAUAAUUAUAACUCCCGCCGGAGAAUCGCUUGCAGACACUGCCGCUGCAAGCUACGGCUCCACCGAACCAAGGCUUCGCCACCUGCUGUCUGUUGUUCUGUGUGUCUGUCCAGGGUCGCCAGCCCCGCUUGCAUAACAUCCCGCCGGAUGUCCACCUCCCGCCGGAGGAUCGCUUACCGCCGCAAGCCAAGACUACGCAAGCCAACGCUUACGUGCCACCCCCAUGCGUCCACCCACGAGGCUAAGUACCUAUGGAUUAGGCCAAUAGCAGAGGCUC